rnacentral:rRNA from 1 species
GGAAUCGCUAGUAAUCGCGGAUCAGAAUGCCGCGGUGAAUACGUUCCCGGGUCUUGUACACACCGCCCGUCACACCAUGGGAGGUCGGAAAUGCCCGAAGUCUGUGACCUAACCGAGAGGGAGGAGCAGCCGAAGGCAGGUCUGAUGACUGGGGUGAAGUCGUAACAAGGUAGC